AAAUUGAAGAGUUUGAUCAUGGCUCAGAUUGAACGCCGGCGGCAGGCCUAACACAUGCAAGUCGAGCGGAAACGAGUUAUCUGAACCUUCGGGGGACGAUAAUGGCGUCGAGCGGCGGACGGGUGAGUAAUGCCUAGGAAAUUGCCCUGAUGUGGGGGAUAACCAUUGGAAACGAUGGCUAAUACCGCAUGAUGCCUACGGGCCAAAGAGGGGG
rnacentral:rRNA from 1 species